rnacentral:tRNA from 1 species
AGAUCCGUAGCUCAGUUGGUUAGAGUGCUUCCUUGACAUGGAAGAGGUCACCGGUUCGAGUCCGGUCGGGUCUAC